rnacentral:rRNA from 1 species
GACGAACGCUGGCGGCGUGCCUAAUACAUGCAAGUAGAACGCACAGUUUAUACCGUAGCUUGCUACACCAUAAACUGUGAGUUGCGAACGGGUGAGUAACGCGUAGGUAACCUGCCUGGUAGCGGGGGAUAACUAUUGGAAACGAUAGCUAAUACCGCAUAAUAUUAAUUAUUGCAUGAUAAUUGAUUGAAAGAUGCAAUUGCAUCACUACCAGAUGGACCUGCGUUGUAUUGGCUAGUAGGUGAGGUAACGGCUCACCUAGGCGACGAUACAUAGCCGACCUGAGAGGGUGAUCGGCCACACUGGGACUGAGACACGGCCCAGACUCCUACGGGAGGCAGCAGUAGGGAAUCUUCGGCAAUGGACGAAAGUCUGACCGAGCAACGCCGCGUGAGUGAAGAAGGUUUUCGGAUCGUAAAGCUCUGUUGUAAGAGAAGAACGGGUGUGAGAGUGGAAAGUUCACACUGUGACGGUAUCUUACCAGAAAGGGACGGCUAACUACGUG